rnacentral:rRNA from 1 species
CUUUGAUUCUGGCUCAGGACGAACGCUGGCGGCGUGCCUAACACAUGCAAGUCGAACGAAGCUUGAUUUAUGAUUUCUUCGGAAUGAAUAAUGAUAUGACUGAGUGGCGGACGGGUGAGUAACGCGUGAGCAACCUGCCCUUCGGAACGGGAUAGCGUCUGGAAACGGACGGUAAUACCGUAUAACGUAUUUUUACCGCAUGAUAGAAAUACCAAAACUGAGGUGCCGAAGGAUGGGCUCGCGUCUGAUUAGAUAGUUGGUGGGGUAACGGCCUACCAAGUCGACGAUCAGUAGCCGGACUGAGAGGUUGAACGGCCACAUUGGGACUGAGACACGGCCCAGACUCCUACGGGAGGCAGCAGUGGGGAAUAUUGCACAAUGGGGGAAACCCUGAUGCAGCAACGCCGCGUGAAGGAAGACGGUUUUCGGAUUGUAAACUUCUGUUCUUAGUGAAGAUAAUGACGGUAGCUAAGGAGCAAGCCACGGCUAACUACGUGCCAGCAGCCGCGGUAAUACGUAGGUGGCAAGCGUUGUCCGGAAUUACUGGGUGUAAAGGGAGCGUAGGCGGGAAGCCAAGUCAGCUGUGAAAACUACGGGCUUAACCUGUAGACUGCAGUUGAAACUGGUUUUCUUGAGUGAAGUAGAGGUUGGCGGAAUUCCGAGUGUAGCGGUGAAAUGCGUAGAUAUUCGGAGGAACACCGGUGGCGAAGGCGGCCAACUGGGCUUUAACUGACGCUGAGGCUCGAAAGUGUGGGGAGCAAACAGGAUUAGAUACCCUGGUAGUCCACACUGUAAACGAUGAUAACUAGGUGUGGGGGGUCUGACCCCUUCCGUGCCGCAGCUAACGCAAUAAGUUAUCCACCUGGGGAGUACGACCGCAAGGUUGCAACUCAAAUGAAUUGACGGA